GCCAGAGUAGCUCAGUGGUAGAGCACCGCUUUCGUAAAGCGGCGGCCACGGGUUCAAGUCCCGUCUCUGGCUCCA
rnacentral:tRNA from 1 species